CUAACACAUGCAGUCGACGGUAGCACAGAGAGCUUGCUCUCGGGUGACGAGUGGCGGACGGGUGAGUAAUGUCUGGGAAACUGCCUGAUGGAGGGGGAUAACUACUGGAAACGGUAGCUAAUACCGCAUAACGUCGCAAGACCAAAGAGGGGGACCUUCGGGCCUCUUGCCAUCAGAUGUGCCCAGAUGGGAUUAGCUAGUAGGUGGGGUAACGGCUCACCUAGGCGACGAUCCCUAGCUGGUCUGAGAGGAUGACCAGCCACACUGGAACUGAGACACGGUCCAGACUCCUACGGGAGGCAGCAGUGGGGAAUAUUGCACAAUGGGCGCAAGCCUGAUGCAGCCAUGCCGCGUGUAUGAAGAAGGCCUUCGGGUUGUAAAGUACUUUCAGCGGGGAGGAAGGUGUUGAGGUUAAUAACCUCAGCAAUUGACGUUACCCGCAGAAGAAGCACCGGCUAACUCCGUGCCAGCAGCCGCGGUAAUACGGAGGGUGCAAGCGUUAAUCGGAAUUACUGGGCGUAAAGCGCACGCAGGCGGUCUGUCAAGUCGGAUGUGAAAUCCCCGGGCUCAACCUGGGAACUGCAUUCGAAACUGGCAGGCUGGAGUCUUGUAGAGGGGGGUAGAAUUCCAGGUGUAGCGGUGAAAUGCGUAGAGAUCUGGAGGAAUACCGGUGGCGAAGGCGGCCCCCUGGACAAAGACUGACGCUCAGGUGCGAAAGCGUGGGGAGCAAACAGGAUUAGAUACCC
rnacentral:rRNA from 1 species